rnacentral:tRNA from 1 species
GAGGGUGGAGCCCACUGGUAGAGCAUGUGCUUAGCAUGCACGAGGUCCCGGGUUCAAUCCCCAGUGCCUCUA